CUACGGGAGGCUCCAGUGAGGAAUAUUGGUCAAUGGGCGCAAGCCUGAACCAGCCAUGCCGCGUGCAGGAUUGACGGUCCUAUGGAUUGUAAACUGCUUUUCUGUACCAAGAAACUUUCAUACGUGUAUGGAACUGACGGUAGUACAGGAAUAAGCAUCGGCUAACUCCGUGCCAGCAGCCGCGGUAAUACGGAGGAUGCAAGCGUUAUUCGGAUUUAUUAGGUUUAAAGGGUACGUAGGCGGAAUAUUAAGUCAGUGGUGAAAUCCCGUGGCUCAACCAUGGAACUGCCAUUGAAACUGAUAUUCUUGAGUGUAGUUGAGGUGGGCGGAAUGUGUAGUGUAGCGGUGAGAUGCUUAGAUAUUACACAGAACACCGAUUGCGAAGGCAGCUCACUAAACUAUCACUGACGCUGAGGUACGAAAGCGUGGGGAGCGAACAGGAUUAGAUACCCUGGUAGUC
rnacentral:rRNA from 1 species